GCCCAAUGGCGACGCGGGGGGAAGCUAUAAAAGCCGCCGCGGGGGCACGUGGCCGGCCUUUCCCGGCAGGAGGGCUCGGCGGGAAGCGGACGGCGGAGGCCUGAGGGGCGAUGCGGGAGCCUGGUCUCGGCGGCCCGGGAAGCGGCACCCCCCUGAUACAGGGCCUAGAUAGGAACAGGGGAUGUAAGGGUUAAUAUGGGAAUAGCAAGAAGGGGGUGACAAGGGAAAUAGUUGAGAUAACAGUUCUGCUUAAUGAGUAGAUAGUUCGUAAAACAUGAUGAGCUGAGGUUUGGCGACCCAGAUGACCCUUCGGGGCGGUGAAACGCCCGGUCGGUUGUUUCUCGCGUACCAUGCAGCCUCGUAAUUUCUGGGCUCUGCAACUGCAGGGAAAGCACUCGGGCGGGUGAAGCUGGGGCUGGAGGAACUAAGCCGUGCCUUGGCAUAGCUGCUGUGCAAGAGGGAGUGUCGGCUGCGGGCUCCGAGUGUGCGGGGCAGCUCCGAGUACGGCUGAAAAUUGCGUUUUCUGGGGUUGCAGUAUGAAACGGGGAAGCUGCUGUUGCUCACGCAGUACAGCUUAGUUUUCAAAGCACAAAGAAGCAGCUGCAGAACUGCCCGAAGUACAAGAAAUACACAGGCAUCGACUUUCGCCGUGGUGGAUAUCUUGGGGUCCUUGAUGCUAACUAGCUUUUUGGAAUAUAUCAAGUUCCUCGGGCCAUGUGCUUUUCCCAGCCUCAAAUCAAGUUCAGCCUGUAAUUGUUACUUUUUUUGAUGCUGUAUCUCUGCUUUGGCUUCUGUAUCAGGCCAAUUUUAUGCCUUACAGAUUUAAUAAAGUUUUCAAAACAUUC